AACGAACGCUGGCGGCAUGCCUAACACAUGCAAGUCGAACGAGACCUUCGGGUCUAGUGGCGCACGGGUGCGUAACGCGUGGGAACCUGCCCUUAGGUUCGGAAUACCUCCCCGAAAGGGGUGCUAAUACAGGAUAAUGUCUUCGGACCAUAGAUUUAUCGCCUUUGGAUGGGCCCGAGUUGGUUUAGCUUGUUGGUAGGGUAAAAGCCUACCAAGGCGACGAUCGAUAGCUGGUCGGAGAGGCUGAUCAGCCACACUGGGACGGAGACACGGCCCAGACUCCUGCGGGAGGCAGCAGUGGGGAAUAUUGGACAAUGGGCGAAAGCCUGAUCCAGCAAUGCCGCGUGAGUGAUGAAGGCCUGAGGGUUGUAAAGCACUUUUGCCCGGGAUGAUAAUGACAGUACCGAGAGAAUAAGCUCCGGCUAACUCCGUG
rnacentral:rRNA from 1 species